ACCAGCUGAGGGGGAAUGAUGCAGGUUGAGGGGGGGGGAAUGAAGUGAGACACUGGGAGGUGAUAGGCGAGACCAGCUGAGGGGGAAACUGGGUGGGCAGGGGGAUGGAAUGAAGUGAGAAGCUGGCGGAUGAUAGAUUUUAAUGCAAUGUCAGCAUUUGGGUGCCACAGUAGUGUAGCAUGACACGAUUACAGCUCGGGGCCUCAGAGUUCGGAGUUCAAUCCCAGCAUCCUCAAUAAGGGAAUAUGGAAAAUGCGGGUUUCCUCUGGGUACUCAAGUUCCCUCCCACAGUCCAAAGACGUACCGGUUAGUAGGUUAAUUGUAAGUUAUCCUGUGAUUAGGCUAGUGUUAAGCAGGUGGGUUGAUGUGGCUCACUGAGCCAGAAAGGCCUGUUACGCAUUGUAUCUCAAAAUAAAAUAAAAAUAAAUUCCGAACUUACAGGUUGAGUCAAAGGAGCUGUCUGCAGGCCAUGGAGCUGAGAAGCUCUGACUGUAUGUGUGUUUGGGAGGGAUUAGCUCACACAAGAGUGGAUAGUCUUUUAUGCCACAAAGUCACAGAAUCAAUUAGAGAGACUGGAAUGAAUUUGAGCCCCCAGAAAACAGAACUUCUCCACUAAUGCAAUUAUCCAAACCUCAGCACUAGAGCAGAAUUGGGCCAUUCGGUCCAUCAGUUCUGCUCGGCCAUUCCAUCACGGCUGAUUUAUUAUCCCUUUCACAAUCAGGACAUCAGAUUCAGGUUAAUUUAUUAAUCACACACACACUGAAACAUACAGUGAAAUGCAUCACAGCCAACACAACGCAAAGAUGUACUGAGGCAGCCUGAAAGCAUUGUCACACAUUCUGGUGCCAACACAGCAUGUCCACAACUUCCUAACCCUAGCCUAUACACUUUUGGAAUGUAACGGGAAAACGAGCAUCCACAGUAAACCCACACGGUCACGGAGAAAACACACAAAUUUCUUACGGUCAGUGUUGGAACUGAACCCAGGUUGCUGGCACCGUAAUGGUGUUAUGUUAAUCACUGCCAGCCCCAAUGCACUACUUCCAUAAACUAUGAUGCCCUGGCUAAUCAACAACCUAUCAACUCCCACUUUAAGUCUACCCAAUGACUUGGCUUCCACAGCUUCACCACCCUCUGGCUGAAGAGACUCCUCAUAAUCUCUGUUCCAAAUUCUGAGGUUGUGCUUUCUGGUCUGAGGCUCUCCCACUGCAGAUUUUGGAAUAUAUAAUGAGAUAGCUUGGGAUCGCCAUCAUUCCCGACUCUGAAUUUAUGUGCUACCGAGAUACAGCACAGUAACAGGCCCUUCUGGCCCAACAAGCCCACACUGCCCAAUUACACCCAUGUGACCAAUUAACCUAUAACGUGAUUGUCUUUGGAAUGUGGGAGGUUAAACUGCAGCACCCAGAGGUCAAGGGAAGAACAUUCAAACACCUUACAGACAGUGGCGGGAAUCGAACCAGGGUCGCUGGCUCUGUAGUAGUGCUAUGCCACCCACGAAAGAAGACACGAAGAAGAUGUGGAAUUCUGAUCCUGAAUCUGAUCCUCUUCACGUGUCCUAUAGACUAACCCAGAGGCUACUCCAGUCAGAACAUUGAAUGCAACUGGACCUCAGGAAUGAAUUAAUACAGCCCUGUGUUUGUUUAUCAGUUUCUUCGUUUCAUUCAUUUAAUCAGUCACUCUGGUCGUUAGUCUUGAAAAUUCAAUCACUUGGAGUAACAGCAUAGUAACCAGGACGUUCCAGCCCAAUAAACCCACAAUGCCCAAUCACACUCAUGUGACCAAUUAACCUACUAUUAAAAAGAAACAUUCAGGGGAGAAAUUACAAACACCUUGCUUAGAGCCACGGGAACUGAACCUGGGUCGCUGGCGCUGUGAAAGCGUUACGCUGACCGCUACGCCGCCAGAAGCAGGUGGAAUUCUCAAUUGGUUCAUCUAUCAGCAGUUUAAGGACAUGCUGAUGCAAACACAACUCCAGCCACCUCGUGAACGUAGAAAAAAACGUAUGCACGUAUGAUAAUUCCGCUGCAUUUACUGUAUAGAUAUAAAUAAAGCGCAGAACCAGCAUCUAGAGUGGAUAAAGCAUGAAAUCUGUGGUGAAUGAUGCUGUGUAUUUAACAAAUCGUGAACAUUGUUCCUGGUCGUCUGCAGGUUUAUUAACUAUAACUCAAUGCCAACCUGCUGCCCUAGAUUGUUAGCUUAGAGUCAAGAGAUUCAGACCCAGAGCUCAGAGGAUUCUCCAUCACUCAGUCAUGGCUUAUUUAAAACCAUAAUGCAUAGGAACAGAAUAAGGAAAUUCAGCUCAUUGAGUCUGUUCCACCACUCCAUCGUGGCUGAUGCCUCCAAAAGGUGGCAUCCAUCAUCAAGGAUGCCCGCCAUCCAUCAUCAAGGAUGCCCGCCAUCCAGGGCAUUCCUUCUUCCCAUUGCUAGCAUCAGGGAGGCACAGAAGCCUGCUGGCAUACACGCAACAUUUCAGGAACAGCUUCUUCCCCUUCGUUAUCAGAUUUCUCAAUGGACAAUAAAACCAUGGAAACUACAAUGAAUAGUUCAUGAACACCAUCUCACUAUUUUCCACUCUUUUUGCUCUUUUUAUUUAUUUAGUAUAUAUUUUCAUUGUAAUUUAUAGUAAUUUUAUGUAUUGCAUUGAACUGCUGCCACAAAACAACAAAUUUCAUGACAUGUCAGUAGUAAUAAACUUGAUUCCAAUCCAAUCUUCAGGCAGUAACACUAAUAAAAGAAAUGAUAGAUUGUCAUUAGAACAACAGUAAUUCAUUCAACUUCAUCCAAGCACAAAUCUCCACCGCAGUGCCUCAAACUUGCAAUGAAAAAUAUCUUUUGGUUAAUCUAAUUUGUUCUGUGAAAGGGAAGUCAAAGAUUUUCCAGAAUUCUCCAAGGGAAGUGUAUUUAGUAGUCACCAUAUCAUUGUAUUAAAGGAAGGAAGGUCCGCAUCAUCUGUUUUAGCUCCCAUCCAUCGGGCAGGAGUUACUGAGGCCCCACACCACCAGGCUCAAUAAUUGUUACUUCUCUUCAAGUGUUUAGUUCUUGAGCCACUUGACAAAACUUUAAUUACUAUCCCAUUAUAGCAACAUUAUCCUCUCGUUCUUUAGCCCUUUAACUCUUCCACCUAACACCACCCAGCUUUCUUACUUCAUUCUCACCUCCCAAUCAACUCAACUUCUCCCUCACCUGCUUUCACCUAUUGUACUCCUCAUCCACCGCCACCUUCUUAUUCUGGCUUCUUCCCAGUUCUUUCCAGCUCUGAUGAAGGGUCAGCCAAAACGUUGACUGUUUAGUCAUUUUCAUACAUGUUGUCUGACCUAUUGAAUUUCUCCAGCAUUUUGUGUUUGUAGCAACAUUUUAUUUAUUUAUUAAGAUACAGUGUCCAUCUGGGCCUUUGAGUCAUGCCACCUAGCUAUCUCCAGAUUUAAUCUGAGCCUAGUCGUGCGACAAUUUACAAUGAUCAAUUAACCUACCAACCAGUACAUCUUUGGACUGUGGGAGGAAACUGGAUCACCUGGCAGAAACCCACGGUGUCAAGGAGGAGAACAUCUAAACUCCUUACAGGCAGUGGCGGGAAUUGAACCCGGGUUGCUGGUACUGUGGAGCGUUGUGCUAACCACUACAAUACCGUGCCACAUUUUGUGGCCACUUUGAUCACUUUGCACUAAAAUGGACAACAGUAUUUUGUUCUGAUUGUGUCCUUUCUAAUAAAAAAUAUGUACAAUUUAUAUUUUUUCUUGUUAAUGCUGCUUAUAUGAUGUUAUGUGUAAAUUCUUCAUUGCACCCUCAUAUGUUACAUGUUGUGCAUGAAUUAUAUACCCUGUCUUGUGUAUCUUGGUUCAAAGGAACAUUGUUUCUUUUGGUGGUAUGCAUUUAUACAGCUGAAAGACAAUAAACUGAACUUGUGUACAUGACAAUAAACUCGAUUUCGAUUCUGACAUUGAAUAAGCAGUAGAUAAAGGUUUCUGGUGAAAUAGACAUUCAUGAGCCUCUGAACUACAUGUGGAUGUGAAUGAUCUCAAAAUCUCUCCAUUAAUUAUCCAUUAUGCCUGAAGCACAUGACUGUGAUUAA